CUCCUCCUCUCCCUGCCCAGAGCCAGUGCCCUCAGCAGCUCCUCACACGCCUUCCCCUCACGGCCUUCGCUCUCCUCGUGGCCUCCUCUGGACUCUCUCUGGCACUUUGAGAUCUUCCUUACACUGUGCUGCCCAAACCUGCCCACAGCACUCGAGGUUGGCUGCAAGAGAUGUGAAGGACCAGAGAAAGCUUUGGCAGCCAUUUUGGUGCAGAGGAUUCCUUCAGGGCUGUAAGUAAAAAAAGAAGAAAAUGUUCUCUUCACAUCUAAGGUCCUUUUCCUAAAUGAGGAUUAAUUGUUCCUUGGACAGGUGCUGCAGGAGUCGGAAGUCACAGCAUGUCCUGUCCCAAAAAAGCUCUGCAGACAGGGGAGUUUCAUUCUUUCACAUCUCACUACGGAGAGCCAUGCCUGCAGUGUGUGCUGGGUCACCAGCACCCUUCUUGACCUGGAACCAGAAAAUCAAGGACCAGUGAUUGUCAGAGUGUGGCCAUGUGGCAAAUAUCUGCUCAAAAAUGGCUGUUGUUCUGUGAAGGUGCCUGGCACUGAAAGUCCCAAACGAUAAGAGCAGAGGAUGAGUCCUUGGAACACUGCAGUGAUCUCCAAAGCACAAUCAGUCUGCUGCUGCUUCAGGUUUCUCAGCCCAUCUGCAUCCCAGUGUCCUGGUUCUGGCGAGCACAGGCUGUGGGAGUGACUGAGCCCCUGAUGUUGCAGGCAGGAGAUGCAUGUGGGCAGAGAGGAUGGAAACUCUGCAUUCUUCCAGAAACUUCCUUCUCUCUAAUGGUGCUCAUGAGAUGGGCCAGCUUGGGGAAGAUGCCACACCAGCAGCCCCCACAAGCCUGAGGUACCCUGGGCAGGUCUGCAGAGAGAGCUCCCACAUCCACAACAGUGGAUUCAUCAGGACUCAUCAAUUUCCUUAAUUGAGGUUAAAAGUCUGAUCAGAUGCUGGCUCUACAUGCAAAAUCAGUGAGUGACUGCAGCAGCUCCUGAGAGAACACAGAGCUGCAUCAGGCAGCAGCUGGAACCCACUGCCAGGGAAGCAAACACUGGAGCUGGUUCCCCACUACUCUCUCCAGCCCUUGGCUGGUGGGGGAAAGCAGGGCCCAGGGGCAGAAGGAAAAUGUAAAAACAGCUGGAGGAUGUUGUGCCCACCUUGUGUGUCCUGGGAAUUACCUCACCCUGGUGUGGCACACCCUGCAGUUGUGACAGCCCUGUCAGGUAGGAAUAGAUGAACAGAAGUGUUUUCACCUGUGCACAGUUGAAAACUAAAAGGGAUUUUCAGCAACAUUGACUUUCUCCUUGACUUGGCCAGGAGCUUCAGGAAGAAGCAGUAGAGAAUAACCCUUCAUUUUUAUCUGCUGUACCAUUACAAGCCCAAAAGCCUCCAUGCCCUGGCCUGUCUUUGCCUGAAUUAAGGGCAUCCAGCUCCCCGGGUCACUGCUCUGGAUUGGCAGCCAGACCUGGCAGAUAAGUUUGCAUCUGUCCAUUUUCAGUAGAAUAGUUUAACCUUAUGCUAGACCAUGAUUUUCUAGCUCAUUUUUUAAAUGGAAUACUCUUCAGAAGAUCAGCUGUCCCACACUGGCUGCAGCCCAGUGAUUAAAGGAACACAAAGCUCUACAUCCUGCAGACCCCAAAAUGCCUUUGUUGUCCCAACUCUUCACACUUGUGUCACACACCCUCCUCCCCACUCAGGAAGAUUGCAAAAACAUCUGAGAGAGAAAACACAGCUUGUCCAGAGUAUUCUAAUGGCUUGGUUGCAGCUUAUACUGUGUGCUCCCCAGUAAACUACAAUCUGAGAUUGUUAAACUCUAAACACUGCUGUUGAUAAAAAUAAAAUUAAAAAAAAAGCUGACAACUGUGUGAAGAUGUGGAAGAUGUGAAGAUGCACUCUGGAGAACAGUGUGAAAUGAAAUCACACAAAGGUAGUUUCAGAAAUAAGGACUCUUGAAAGGAAUUAUUGGAGAGUCUGUGGAGUCCAAGACACAUAAAAAGCAUCUAGACUAUAAAUAUUGAAAAAAAUCUUCUGUUAAGAGAAUAAAACAUUUUAAGUGCUGUGCAGGAAAGAAUGGAAAUCUGUGCAGUAUAAUUGUGCAUUUUAUAAUUCUGACUUAGUGACAGAAGGGUAAAAAAGGAAAAUUAGUGUAGUUAUCUUUUCAGGGCACUGGUGAGAUCUAUUCUUUAACUGUCUGUAUUGUCUAUAAUGUUUAUAUGUCUGUAUUGUCUAUAAAUGUCUGUAUGUUUUGGGGCUCUGGUUUGGAAGUCAGGAUGCAAUAUUGAAGUCAAGACAAAACCAUCUGCAGCUCAGCAUUGUGCAGGAAGUGUUUCAGUCUAGGUAACAGGGAAAUUUAACCCACCAUAGGGCAAUUUAACCCAUCAUAGGGAAAUGGAACCAUCUUUAAUUAUCUUUUUCCAGAAGAGAAAACCCAUGGCUUGCCUACUAUGGACCACUUGGUACACAGAUGGUGCUACCUCAGAGAACAAGAUGUGAACAAAUGGAAGGUUUGGCAAUUUUGAGAAAAACAUCUGUAUAAGCUCUGAAUGAACACUAACCUUGCUGCCAUGGAGUGGCAAUAAUCUCAGCAUGCAAAUAAUACAUCCCAGAAUCGUUUAAGUUUCUCAGCCUAAAGCAGAAAUACCAGUCUCCACCUCUGAAGUGCCUCCAGGCUGUUCUGUUGGCCAGAGUGUGAGGACAGCUUGGAGACAGAGAGGAAGAUCUUUCAGUGAGGAUGAAGAUCAUCCUCAGCUGGGACUGAGGUCCUGCUGUGCUGGAAUCCAGACAUACAUGGACAAGUUCCUGCUCUUCUCUGAGCCUCCUGCUGUUUACAGAAAGGAUCAUUAUCUGUGUCUUCCAGAGGAAUCGAGAGAUUUGCUGUCAGUCUCAGAUGGGCUUGAGCCAGAAACUCAGUAUAAAGGUCUGAAAGUUGAAGUUCAAUUGUCUAAAGCCCAGAACCAUCCAGAACAGGCUGUGGGUGGAUCACAGGACCUGUGACAGAGCUGGGCUGGUGUGAAAUGGCAGCUGAGCAAUGUCUCGGCUGCCUCUUGUGCAGCUGAGUCCCAACCUUGCAUUGUGCCCUUUAUUUUCUCCUCAACAGACGGAGAUUUAAAGAGAUGCUUUCAAACCUGAUCUCAUGUGUCAGCAGGUUACAGCUACAACCCCCGUUCCUUGAGAACUAAUCCAGUGGUUCUGCACCUCCACUAACCACAGCAGCAAGCUGCAGGAAUUCACACACAAACCAGAAGCAAUUUCUAUUGCCUGAACCACUUCUGAGCACACAAGAGACAAGACAGAAGAAAUGAGCAGCCAUUUAAAGCAUGUGCUGCUAAGGAUCAUGAGCUCUACCCAUGCAGCAACUCGUAAGGAUAUAGUAUAAAUACUCUUAAUAAUAACUCAUAAGGAUAUAGUAUAAAUAUAUAUACUUGAACAAUAACAUUGGAUAUUUCCUUCCCCUGAAUGCCACACAAAAAGUAAAGUUCAUGAAGAGUCUUUCAUUAGAAGCCAUACAAAAAUGCAUUGCUGCUGUCUCAUUAUAUGUUUAGAAGGAUUUAUUCAGAAGGAAAGAGAAAUAAAACCUUUUUCCCCACAGCCAAAAGGAAAACCCAUACAGUUUCCUGUAUGAGUGGAAAGCAAACACUGAAGGAAUAAAAAUGGAUUUACAGGAACUACCAUUGCAUGUGCCUAUGCACACUGACAAGGCAUAAAGAGCUAUGGGGUUGCUGAAUCUGAGGUCACUUUUGUUGAUAUCUGUUGAAAAUCACUGUUACAUAACUCAUAUCCCAGCACAGAAAAAUGUCAGAGAGCAGCAGCAAAAAUACAGCUUGGAAGGAUUUGUCUUCACAGAUGGCCUAAAUUGUACCACAGAGCACAAAAUGUUUUUUCUCCUACAGCAUUUUUGAGGUUGUCUAUCCUAACUCCCAGCUAUAGAACAAGGAGAUGGAUCCUGAAACGAUUUUUAGUGCAAAGUCAGCAAAUACAAAACUAGUGAAUGAGCCUUGACUGAACAUGACUUUCUCUGGGUGCCAAACCAGACUUUAUGCCAGGAUCUACCAUUUCUGAUGUGGCAUUGCAGCUAUCACAGGAAACAAACAAACACUGGAGGAGUGGAUGUAUUGGUCAGCGUUCGUCAGGGUGAGCUGAUAGCUUUUUACUGAGACAGAUCUGCUGAUUCAGGUUAGGUACAUUAGUUUUGUUUUGGAAAACAUGGGCCUGCAUUGCAGCCACAUGAAGCCAGCAAAGUCUGAGGAAUUACAAGGCUUUUUUUGAGGACACCACACAUACUGAAAAGUUCCUUGCAAAAUCUGUGCCACCCUCUAUGGCUCUCUACAGACUCAUUCUGUUUUCCUCAUGGACCUUUCUUUUGCUCACAGGUCACCUUCAGGAUUGACAUUUACUACCCCUGCAUUGAUUUUAUCCAUGAAGGAGUAGGGCUGCCUUCAGCAGCUGCUCUCUCUCCACUUCCUCAGUAGAUUCCUUGGUAUGUUCACAUUCUAAUAUGAUGCAUUAUGUUGACUUUGAUUGUCUACUGGCCAGAAGUAGUUUUAUUCACAAUCCCGCGACUGUGACAACUCUUACCAGCUUAGAAAAAGAAGAGCAGAAUUUACCUUUUCAGUAACAUAAAAAUUUCUCUAGCUUUUGUUUGUGGUUCCUCUUGGAAAGUGGGGGCCGUGAAAGAAAGUUAGAGCCAGUCCAUAGUCUACAACAAAAAUUAACUUUAAUGGGGAAAAUAAUGUUGCUUACAAACCAAAGAAACUGCACCGCAUGGGAAAUAGAGCAUGAAAAGGAUUUGUGCUGUGAUGUCAAGAUUAGAGAGAAUAAGCAACAUGAAUUAGCAAGUGGAAUGCAAAUAUUGUACAUUCAAGUGUAACUUUAGUGUAAUAUCAGAGAUGUGGGUUCAUGAGGAAUUAGAGCAUCUCUAAAAUAGUAUUCAAAGUGCUGCUGUCUGCAGAAUGGAGUCCAUGCAUGUGGCUUAGGUGCCCCCAGCCUUCAUUGAGCUGGAGCUGAUGCUUUCUCCUCACUCCUUUCAUCAGUAUUAAUUGCACGAAAUUAGAGAUUUUGUUUAUGCAGAUACACUGCAUUUAGGUCAGUGACUUGCUUACAAGAACAUGUGGAGGUGAACAUGUCUUGGCUCUGGACAGAGACAGCAGCAGCAAAGCAAUGAUAAAGCCCAGGAGAGGUGAGGGCUGAGCAGCUCCUCUGGGAGAGGGGAGUGGGCACCAGCUUGGUUGUGCCAGGUGGGGCAGUGUGAAAAACAAGGUUCACUCUCCUGUAAAAACGUAGUAAGUUAAAAAAGGUUUAAAAAUGUAUGUUUAAAAAAUAAGUUUAAAAAAGUUUAAUAGAAGACGAAGACAAUAAAGCAAAGAUUUACAGCCGGAUGCCUCCUGGCAUUCCACCAAGAGUACACCUUCUAUUUUGGAAACACCUUUAUAUACCAUUUCUGUACCAUUUCGAUGGCAUCAGCCUGUUACAUGUACAUAAACAAUUAUGCAUAUUAAACUAGUUUACAUGUUCCAAUAAUUGUUUAGCAUAUUUCCUCCUUAGAUCUGCUUUUUUGGAGCAUGU